UUAUCGUCAACCUUACACUAGAACAUUUCUGGAAAGAUUAAAAGAGAAAAAAGGAACUCGGCAAAUUUCAACCCCGCCUGUUUACCAAAAACAUCGCCUCUUGAUAAAAUAUAAGAGGUCUAGCCUGCCCAGUGAAUAAAUUCAACGGCCACGGUACAUUAACCGUGCAAAGGUAGCAUAAUCACUUGUUCUUUAAAUAGGGACUAGUAUCAACGGCAUCACGAGGGUUGCACUGUCUCCUUUCUCCAAUCAGUGAAACUGAUCUUCCUGUGAAAAAGCAGGAAUACACCUAUAAGACGAGAAGACCCCAUGGAGCUUUAAAUCUAUGGCAACUCAGUUACAUAUUCAAUAAAAACACAGAGCCGUGCCUAUCGGUUUUAGGUUGGGGCGACCACGGAGCAAAAAUUAACCUCCGUAACGAAAAGAACUAAAUCUUUAUCCAAGAAUCACCACCUCUAAGAAUUAGCACACUAACGUAAAAUGACCCGAUAUUCGAUCAACGAACUUAGUUACCCUGGGGAUAACAGCGCAAUCCACUUCGAGAGUUCAUAUCGACAAGUGGGCUUACGACCUCGAUGUUGGAUCAGGGUUCCCAAGUGGUGCAGCCGCUACUAAAGGUUCGU
rnacentral:rRNA from 1 species